AUAAGUGUUAUUAUGGAUUGAUUGAUUGAAAGCUUUUUCUCCUCCUCAGGCAACUGACCCUUCAAAUCUGAUUUAACUCUUGGCUUUGCCUGUAGCUUGACGAGAAGAGCAGCACCUAAAGCAAACGCUUUGAACUCCAGAAGGAA
rnacentral:lncRNA from 1 species